rnacentral:piRNA from 1 species
UAGACUCAUGCCCAACGUCGGUGGCCC